ensembl:lncRNA
CCCCUUCCCAGCCCUCAUUUAAGGGUUGGCAGUGGAGGUGAGGACAUCUUUUGCUGGAGAUCUCUGCCUACCUGAGGCCUUCCAAAGGACAUAUGCCUGCACAACCGUUUCACUGCCAGGCUCUUCAAAAGCACAAGCAGAGUAAGAGAGGUUGGAUCCUUCUGGUGGCAAUUCAGUACGUCUUUCAAUGGCCCAGCCACAACCAGGUCACUCUUGACUUCAGCAGUACAAGCAUGAACAGGCAGAGCACGCUGGCUAUGAUUACAUCAGAAGACUGAGGGAUGCACACAAUCUCCCUGCUGUCAAGCCACAAAGCAGGAAUUCCCAAGUGAUGUCAGAGUAAGGUCUGCUCAAUACGAGGAGCCUUUGACACGGAAGCAGAAGUUUUCCAAGCUGUACUUUGAAGUGUGGAACCACUACUGGGAGAAUUUUGUUCUGGCCUCGCUAACGCCUCUGAGAGCUUCAACCUGACUGGGCCCACUGCUGGAUAAUGCCAUAUUACACAUGUAUUUCAAGUGUUUGGCAAAGAUUUGAGUGCAUGAGCAGGUGGAGAGUAGAAGCAAGGACAGAAAAAUCAAGAAGGAUUUACCAGAGCACAGGAGUGGGACGUGCACAGAGAUAUCCUUUAAAUGGAAUAAGCAGCCUCCUCCAGACAUAUCUGAUGACAAGAAAGUGUACCAAGCUUUCCAAACCACGGUCCAAAUUCACAGCUACGUGUGGCAGGCUUUCAAUCACAUCUACAUAAAACCAUAGAAUCAAUAAGGUUGGAAAAGACCUCCAAGAUCAUCCAGUCCAACCAUCCACCUCUCACCAAUUCCACACUAAACCAUGUCCCUCGGUAC